UCGGGGGUCGUCUAGUGGUAGGACAGGGGAUUUUGGAUCCCCUAACCCAGGUUCGAAUCCUGGCCCCCGAG
rnacentral:tRNA from 1 species